rnacentral:rRNA from 1 species
CACGCCCUAAACGAUGUCAACUGGUUGUUGGGUCUUCAUUGACUUAGUAACGAAGCUAACGCGUGAAGUUGACCGCCUGGGGAGUACGGUCGCAAGAUUAAAACUCAAAUGAAUUGACGGGGACCCGCACAAGCGGUGGAUGAUGUGGAUUAAUUCGAUGCAACGCGAAAAACCUUACCUACCCUUGACAUGCCACUAACGAAGUAGAGAUACAUUAGGUGCUCGUAAGAGAAAGUGGACACAGGUGC